rnacentral:misc_RNA from 1 species
GUGGGGGUGUCACUGUCAUUGUCAAAGUGGAAAAAUUUCCUAAUGUCGAUCUUCUGUUCGCCCACUCUAUCGAAUUUUGUGAUAAAGUAGAGAAUAGUGAAUAGUUUGAUAUAGAAUUAGAGAAUCGUGAAAGUUGUAGGCAUUCGAAGUGUACGACGAUACAUAUGAAAAGUGUGACGGGCGAAAGGCAUGUUUAAUAUAACUAUAGAGAAAAAUGGCUUCCGGUGAUGGAAUUGAUUCAAUUGAACUUGAAUCAACAGUGUCAAACUCGAAUAAUAGAAAUGCUGAAAUAUCAAGCGCCGCCCGCACAUCCGACGACAAUGAUAGGGAUCAUGCAUCUGGAGCAGACGGAAGAUCAACAAAUCAAGAGGUAUAUGGAGAGCCAGGACUGCCUCGGACUGAAACGCAUAGAGCGAAAACGGACAAAGAAAAGAAGAUUGGACACAGGCGAGUCGGUGAUGGCGGUCAGAUAACGUACAAAAAAAUUCAAACCAGUACAAUUAUGGGCUCUAUACAAUUAGGCAUACAACAUACGGUCGGAAGUUUGGCCUCAAAACCGAAAAGAGAUUUAUUGAUGAUGGACUUUUGGGAAAUUGAAACUAUAUCUUUCCCACCCGAAGGUUCUAGCUUAACUCCUGCGCAUCAUUUUAGUGAAUUUAGGUUUAAGAUAUACGCACCCAUAGCAUUCCGUUAUUUUAGACAUUUAUUUGGAAUACAACCAGAUGAUUUUAUGAUGUCCAUGUGCUCGGCUCCGCUGCGGGAACUAUCUAAUCCAGGAGCAUCCGGAUCAAUAUUUUAUUUAACUGAUGAUGAUGAGUUCAUUAUUAAAACGGUUCAACAUAAGGAGGGAGAAUUUUUGCAGAAAUUGCUUCCAGGGUAUUACAUGAAUCUGAGUCAAAACCCCCGAACAUUACUUCCUAAAUUCUUUGGCUUAUAUUGCUUUCAAUGCAACAGUAAAAAUAUUCGAUUAGUUGUCAUGAACAAUCUCUUACCAUCCUACGUUAAAAUGCAUUUAAAAUAUGACUUAAAAGGCUCAACUUACAAAAGAAGAGCAUCAAAACAGGAACGAAGCAAGCCUUCUCCUACGUAUAAAGAUUUAGAUUUCAUGGAGCAUCAUCCAAAUGGAAUAUUCUUAGAAGCCGAUACGUACAAUGCUUUAAUAAAAACAAUUCAAAGAGAUUGUACAGUCCUCGAAUCAUUUAAAAUAAUGGAUUACUCAUUACUAGUUGGUGUACAUAACUUAGAUUUAGCAUUAAAAGAAAAACAAGAGGAGCGGAGACUGGCAAAUGAAAGAGCUAGAAAUCCAAGGCCAGAGGAAUCGGAUACGGAAGAUGGUCCUCCACAUCCUGAUCCAUUCAUUGCUAAUGAACGAGAUCGGGAAGAGCGUGAACGUGAACAUAGGGGAAGAGAGCGAGAUGCCGCUGCUGCAGCGGCGGCUGCGUCAGCUGCCCUUAACAGGAGCAGUGCAUGUUACAGGUCUAUAAAUCGACAAAGACUUGUCGCGCAUUCAACAGCGAUGGAAAGCAUACAAGCCGAAAGUGAACCAAUAGAUGAAGAGGAAGAUGUGCCCCCUGGGGGAAUCCCUGCUCGUAGUGAAAAAGGAGAAAGACUUCUAUUAUUUAUCGGUAUAAUAGAUAUUCUUCAAUCGUAUCGACUAAAGAAGAAACUUGAACAUACAUUCAAAAGCAUCAUUCACGAUGGGGAUACAGUCUCGGUAUGCCGACCAUCCUUCUAUGCGCAAAGAUUUCAAAAUUUCAUGGCGAAAACCGUUUUCAAAAAGAUUCCUUCACUGGAUCUCCCCGAAAUUAAGGGAAACCAUAGAAAAUUUCGUACCCUGGUCUCCAGCUACAUAGCACUGAAGCACUCUCCGUCGAAAAGAAAGAGUCUUUCACGUGUUGCUCAGAGAUCAACAGAAGGAGAUUCCGAUAGCCAUCCAGUGGCAGGCACUUCACAUCACCACCAUCAUCAUCACCAUUUAAGUAAUACGUCUCAAAAAUCUGGUCCAACUCCAGCGAUCGCGCAAUCAUCAGCAGUUCUAACAAACACAAAUAAGCAGCCAAUAACAACAACCGCUCCGUCGUCAAAUGUACCACCUCUUAAACAAAAAACAAAUAUAACAAAAUCAAAAGUACCGCCUCCGGUGCCACCUCGGGGAUCGCCAAAGCCGAGAAAAGGACAGACAUCAACAUCUAAUACUGGUGCAAGUUUAGCUAGCCGUGCCUCACCAACAGGCACUGCACCUUCAUGUUGUUCCACACCUCCUCCCGCUUUCGAUGAUAUAUCCGAAGGAAGUUCGCAACGGCACAACGUCGACGGAGGAAGUGAUCGCCGAGCACAACUAAAUACAGCAAUACGGUCCUCUUUUAAGGAUGAUGCUAUCAGAUACGACAGAGUCGAAAAGUCAACGUAUUAUGUUAGUAUUUCAGAAAUACGAUUAGAUACACACUUAGGAGUCGAAUCAUCUUCAUCAAACAGCCAGUAUGGAUCAAGAGGAGCAUUGGCAUGGACUCCUCCAGCAUCUGUAGAAGGGUCUACGCCUACAUGGACUGAAGGCACCCCCAGUUUUACAGACUCAAGCUCCAGCGGAGAAUUAGCCAUUUCCGAAAACUCAUCACCAUUGAAUAUUCCCAGUUCGGACAGACAUAAACCCACAGUGGAGGAUACUCUUAAUUCACUCACAUCAGAAAUGAAACGGAACAAUCCGAUUUGUAACAUAAUGUAAUCGAAGUUCAUGAAGAAGAACUCAUUCAAUAUUAAUCUACUGCUACUCAAUUGAGGUAACAACUUUAUACCCAAUAGGUAUCAAUAAUUUGCAUUUAAGGAAUUUCAAUGAAAGACGCGGCUUUGAGGGAAAAUGGUAAUGUUCCUGUGAUGUAGUGGCAAAAAUAUUAUUUACGAUUGAAAUAAUAAAUCAAUAAUAAUUAUUUAUUACGAAAAGUUACCGACAUUAUUUAUUUUGUAAUAAUGUAAUGUAGCAUUAUUUCAACUUGAUUAAGAUAUAAAAAAAAAUAUUUGAA